rnacentral:rRNA from 1 species
GACGAACGCUGGCGGCGUGCCUAAUACAUGCAAGUAGAACGAGUUGCGAACGGGUGAGUAACGCGUGGUAACCUGCCUCAUAGCGGGGGAUAACUAUUGGAAACGAUAGCUAAUACCGCAUACCAUCAGAUGUGCCCAGAUGGGCUUUGCUAGUUGGUUGGGUAACGGCUCACCAAGGCGACGAUCCCUCGCUGGGCUGAGAGGAUGACCAUCCACACUGGAACUGAGACACGGUCCAGACUCCUACGGGAGGCAGCAGUGGGGAAUAUUGCACAAUGGGCGAAAGCCUGAUGCAGCCAUGCCGCGUGUAUGAAGAAGGCCUUCGGGUUGUAAAGUACUUUCAGCGGGGAGGCGGGAAAGGAAGAAGAAGCACCGGCUAACUCCGUGCCAGCAGCCGCGGUAAUUG